rnacentral:lncRNA from 1 species
UCCAGGAAACACUCAACAAAGCAAAGCUGUGGCUGAGGGACCUGGAGAAAGAAUUCCUUCCUAAUGAAAUCGUCAUUGCUUUGGUGGGCAACAAGAUGGACCUUGCUGCUGAGCGAGAAGUUGCCACCCAGGAGGGGGAAGAGUUUGCAAGAACAAAAGGCCUCCUGUUCACGGAGACAUCUGCAAAAUCCAGCCACCAAGUAAAUGAUAUCUUUAUGGCCAUAGCCCAAGAGCUCCUGCAGCGGGAACAAGAGAAGGCAUCCACCCCAUCCCUGCACAGGAGGUCAACAGUUGACCUGGGGGAGAGUGGGGCAAGGAUGGGGUGCUGCCAGCUCUGAGGAGAGGCAGCUCUGCACCUCAGCAGUGGCUGGAUGAGGUCUCCAAGAGGAGCAAUGACAGAGCAGGGGGGAUGCAGAAGCGCAGAGGCAGCUCAACCUAACCACACUCCCCCUCGGAGCAAGGUCAGAGCCCAUCCUGGGGGCACAGGGCCUCUUCAACCCUCCAGCACUGGCUUCAUCCAAGAGGUAAAGCACGGGGGUUUCUUCUACCAACUUUCCACUUCCAGAGAGGAGCUUGACCCCCCCAGCACCACUGCCACUGGCCCUGACUGGUGACAUCCCCUUGCCCCAGCUGCAUGUCACCUCCUCCAUCUCUCUUCCCACUUGAAAAGGGAGAAGUUAACUUUCCUGAGAGAAGCAGGUGCAUCCCAGUGGCUUUACACCCAGGCUGCAAAUAAAGAG